rnacentral:rRNA from 1 species
GAUGAACGCUGGCGGCGUGCCUAAUACAUGCAAGUCGAGCGAACAGACGAGGAGCUUGCUCCUCUGACGUUAGCGGCGGACGGGUGAGUAACACGUGGAUAACCUACCUAUAAGACUGGGAUAACUUCGGGAAACCGGAGCUAAUACCGGAUAAUAUAUUGAACCGCAUGGUUCAAUAGUGAAAGACGGUUUUGCUGUCACUUAUAGAUGGAUCCGCGCCGCAUUAGCUAGUUGGUAAGGUAACGGCUUACCAAGGCAACGAUGCGUAGCCGACCUGAGAGGGUGAUCGGCCACACUGGAACUGAGACACGGUCCAGACUCCUACGGGAGGCAGCAGUAGGGAAUCUUCCGCAAUGGGCGAAAGCCUGACGGAGCAACGCCGCGUGAGUGAUGAAGGUCUUCGGAUCGUAGAACUCUGUUAUUAGGGAAGAACAAAUGUGUAAGUAACUAUGCACGUCUUGACGGUACCUAAUCAGAAAGCCACGGCUAACUACG